CGAGUUGGCUGGGCGGCCGCGGCUCGGGCGGGUCCCACGGACCGGCGUCGAGUCGAGGAAAGUCCGGACUUCACAGAGCGGGGUGAUUGCUAACAGCAAUCCGAGGUGACUCGCGGGAAAGUGCCACAGAAAACAAACCGCCACCCCCGCGGUGGUAAGGGUGAAACGGUGCGGUAAGAGCGCACCAGCAUCCCGGGUGACCGGGAUGGCUAGGCAAACCCCACCCGAAGCAAGGCCAAGAAGGCCGCGCGAAAGUGCGGCCGCGCAGGCGUUCGAGGGUUGCUCGCCCGAGCCUGCGGGUAGGCCGCUUGAGGCACUCGGCAACGAUGCGCCCAGAUGGAUGGUCGCUGCCGCGCCGUCGUUGGCUAAACCUCGGCGGCGCGGAACAGAAUCCGGCUUACAGGCCAACUCGCCCG
rnacentral:RNase_P_RNA from 1 species